rnacentral:lncRNA from 1 species
AGAGAGCCAAGGAGAGAAGGGCCAGGGAGGACACAGCUGGCUGGCUGCCUGAGGCCCCAGGGUCCUUCCUGGCUCCCUGUCCAGGCUCCACCCACAGUCACAGCAAUGCCUGGAACCUUCUAGGACAGCCAGAUCCUGACCUACCAGUAUGGGAUCCCCACCUCUCUCCGGAACACAGGCCAGCAGUGGGACUUCCCUAAUGGCUGGGCCCCUCUCCAGGACCUGGUCAUCAGAGGCUUGGCCAAGUCAUCUUCACCUCGGACCCAGGAAGUGGCUUUCCAGCUGGCCCAGAAUUGGAUUCGAACCAACUUUGACGUCUACUCACAAAAGUCAGCCAUGUAUGAGAAGGUUAAUUUUUACCAGCUGUUCCUCAGACAAAGGUCUACUAUCUAAAAUAUAUAAAGAACUAAAAAAAAAUCAUACGCUCCAAAUAUAAAGACCCAGUUCAAAAAUGGGCAUCUGAAAUGAACAGACGUUUCUCAAAGAAGUAAAAGCAGCAAAUAAAUAUAUGAAAAAAUGUUCAACGUCACUGGUCAUUCAAGAGAUGCAGAUGAAAACAACACUGAGAUUCCAUCUCACCCCAGUAAGAAUGGCUGCUAUCAAGAAAUCAACCAAUAACAAAUGCUGGCAGGGUUUUGGGGGAAAAAGGAACCCUGCUCCACUGCUGGUGGGAGUGCAGACUGGUGCAACCACUGUGGAAAUCAGUGUGGAGAUACCUCAAAGAACUAGGACUAGAGGUCCCAUUUGACCCCGCUAUUCCUCUGCUGGGUAUCUUCCCAAAAGAAGUCAAAGAAUGAUACCACAGUGAUAUAUGCUCACCCAUGUUUAUAGCAGCAGAGUUUGUAAUAGCUAAAACUUGGAAACAGCCCAAGUGCACAUCAACUGGAGACUGGAUAAACAAGAUGUGGUUUUUUUAAUAAAAUGGAGUACUUACUACUUGCCCAUAAAGAAUGAGAAACUAGAGACAUUUAUAGAUAAAUGGAUGCAUAUUGAGGCCAUACUCUUAAGUGAAAUAAAUAGGACACACAUGUGUAAAUACCGAAUAGUUUCUCUGGUGUGAAAAACUAAAAGUGUAAAUAAGGAUCAAAAUGUAUAAUUGAUAUUGUGAAAUAGGAAGAAAACAUCUAAAGGAGUAAGGGAAGUGGGAGGGGUAGGGAAAAGGAAAGAAGGGAAAAGAAAAAAUAUGAGAAAAGGAAAAAAAUGGAAACAAAGUCUUUGUAAAUAAG